UACGGAGGGUGCAAGCGUUAAUCGGAAUUACUGGGUGUAAAGGGCGUGUAGGCGGCACUGUAAGUCAGAUGUGAAAUCUCCCGGCUCAACCGGGAGCGUGCAUCUGAUACUGCAGUACUUGAGUGAUAGAGGGGAAAGCGGAAUUCCUAGUGUAGCGGUAAAAUGCGUAGAUAUUAGGAGGAACACCAGUGGCGAAGGCGGCUUUCUGGGUCGAUACUGACGCUCAUGUGCGAAAGCGUGGGUAGCAAACAGG
rnacentral:rRNA from 1 species